GAUGAACGCUGGCGGCGUGCCUAAUACAUGCAAGUCGAGCGAACGGACGAGAAGCUUGCUUCUCUGAUGUUAGCGGCGGACGGGUGAGUAACACGUGGAUAACCUACCUAUAAGACUGGGAUAACUUCGGGAAACCGGAGCUAAUACCGGAUAAUAUUUUGAACCGCAUGAUUCAAAAGUGAAAGACGGACUUGCUGUCACUUAUAGAUGGAUCCGCGCUGCAUUAGCUAGUUGGUAAGGUAACGGCUUACCAAGGCAACGAUGCAUAGCCGACCUGAGAGGGUGAUCGGCCACACUGGAACUGAGACACGGUCCAGACUCCUACGGGAGGCAGCAGUAGGGAAUCUUCCGCAAUGGGCGAAAGCCUGACGGAGCAACGCCGCGUGAGUGAUGAAGGCCUUCGGAUCGUAAAACUCUGUUAUUAGGGAAGAACAUAUGUGUAAGUAACUGUGCACAUCUUGACGGUACCUAAUCAGAAAGCCACGGCUAACUACGUG
rnacentral:rRNA from 1 species